GUCCACGCCGUAAACGAUGAUCACUAGGUGUUGGGAGUCAAAUCUCAGCGCCCAAGCAAACGCGAUAAGUGAUCCGCCUGGGGAGUACGCACGCAAGUGUGAAACUCAAAGGAAUUGACGGGGACCCGCACAAGCGGUGGAGCAUGUUGUUUAAUUCGACGCAACGCGAGGAACCUUACCAGCGUUUGAAAUCCUUCUAAGGAAUCAGAGAUGAUUUUGUGCUCCUUCGGGAGAAAGAAGAGACAGGUGGUGCAUGGCUGUCGU
rnacentral:rRNA from 1 species